GACGAACGCUGGCGGCGUGCUUAACACAUGCAAGUCGAACGGAAAGGCCCUGCUUUUGUGGGGUGCUCGAGUGGCGAACGGGUGAGUAACACGUGAGUAACCUGCCCUUGACUUUGGGAUAACUUCAGGAAACUGGGGCUAAUACCGGAUAGGAGCUCCUGCUGCAUGGUGGGGGUUGGAAAGUUUCGGCGGUUGGGGAUGGACUCGCGGCUUAUCAGCUUGUUGGUGGGGUAGUGGCUUACCAAGGCUUUGACGGGUAGCCGGCCUGAGAGGGUGACCGGCCAACAUGGGACUGGGGUACGGCCCCAGCUCCUAAGGGGGGCAACAGGGGGGAAUAAUGCAAAAUGGGCGGAAGCCUGAUGCAGCAACGCCGGGUGCGGGAUGACGGCCUUCGGGGUGGAAACCGCUUUCGCCUGGGACGAAGCGGGAGGGACGGUAAUUGGUAAAGAAGGACCGGCUAACUAAGUG
rnacentral:rRNA from 1 species